UGAAGCUUUGAACUCCUAUAAAGCACAUUGAGUGUAUUGGUGAAGUUUGUUUUAUAAUGUAACACGUGAGAGGGCCUUUGGAUAUGAUCUUGGAAUUGUAUAUGCGGCCAUUCACAUGAACAUGCAUGGGGCAAGUUAGGCCAGCUGGUGUCACUGCUCCGUGGGCUAAUGCAUGGUGUCGGUGUUAACCCUACGUGGGAUGUUUAUAUUGGUGGAGAUGAGUGAUAGCGGAAGCAAAACCCUCGGUAGAAUCAUUUCAGGUUUCUUCUUUCAACAACCAACAACUUAGAUACAUGAGAAGCAGAUCCCACAACAAAAGUUUAGCAUCCCAAUCUCAAUCUUUCCCUGAUCCCUUAAGACUUUAAA
rnacentral:lncRNA from 1 species